rnacentral:snRNA from 1 species
CCGUCGCUAAUUUCAGUCGCCAG